rnacentral:lncRNA from 1 species
GGCUGGGGAGAUUAUCCUUUUGGGCUGUCAAUAUUUCGUAGCUGAGCCCAAACCAAUUCUCUCGGCCCAACUAUAGAUCAUCCUUCACGUCCUUAAAAACAGAGUCCUCCUUCCAACCUCUCUCCCCCACAACGUCCACUACUUCACAGGUACUACCUCCAUUUCAUAUUAUAAGUCAUUUGACUUAUUUUUUCUAAGUUGUCCAUCUAUGAAAAUAUAUUUUUUAUCCGUAUAUGACGUUUUCGUAGGACAUGGUCACAUUGUUGCUCGCCUACGAACGGAUGACUUAAGUGAUACGCCUGAAAAAUAAGCAUCUGAGCUAGUACUCCCAUAUAAAUCUAGCACUCUCCUCCACCACCACCCAUUCCUUAUCCUCUUCCCACCCUCUCUCCCUCUCCGUCUUUCACAGGCGCGAGGCAGAGUUGCGGCAACAGUUCGGUGACGGGGAUGAGGAGCGACAACGGCGGCGGCGCUAGCCACAACCGGCGAUGGCAGAGGAGGCUCCCUCCCCUCCCCUUCCUCUCCCUCUCAGAUCCGGUGGAGGGGGAGGGGCGUCGGCGGCGGCGCGGCUAGAGGGGCUUGGGCACCGGUAGCGGCCGAGUCGGCGCCUCCCCUCCCACUCCCGUGCUCCCUCCCUCCAGAUCCGGCGGGGGAGAGAGCUCGGGCGACGGUAGUGGUGGAGGCUGCGCAUCCUCCCCUCCCCCUCCCCCUCUCCAGAUUCGACGGAAGGAGCUUGGGCGCCAGCAGCGCCCCCUCUCCUCCCCCUCAGUCCCUCCAGAUCUGGCUGAGGAGGGAGCUUGGGCGCCGGCAGCGACGGAGGCGGUGCCCCCUCCUCUCCCCCUCCAUCCCUCCCUCCAGAUCCAGUGGAGGAGGGAGCUCGGGCGCCAGCAGCGGCGGAGGCGGCUUCGAUGAGCGGCGGCUCCGAGGAGGUGGAGCGGUGUUGGCUGCGGCUCCGACAAGAAGGAGCGGGUGGUGGCGAUGGCUUCGAGGACGAGCCGCCAGACGGGGGAUUCUUUUUUUUUUCAUGGAGUAUAUUUUCACAGGCGGGUGGUUGCACCGCCUGCAAAGAUGUAGAGGCUACCUAGAAAAUGAUUUCACAGGCAGAGCCGAUGGCCGCCUGUAAAAAUCAUGCAUUUUCGCAGGCCUUCAUGUGCAGGCGGGCUGGAUGGCCGACUGGAAAAAAUCUAUUUUGUCCGUUUGCAAAGAUCUAUUUUCUAGCAGUGUUUGUAUGAUCAUUGUCUCUAAAUUUCUUGCAUGGUUGAUGUAUAAGCUCAUUGUCCUCGUCACACCGUUAUAGUUGGACUUAAAAAUCGAAGCUAGUAGGUUGCCUCGAACAAUACCAGCAUAUAUAAAUUAUUAGAGCAUUAUAAAAACCACACCAUUCCUAGUAUGACAUAGAGCCUAGUAUAAAGUAGAUCCUCCAACUAAUAUAUAUUUUUUUAAAUGAAUCCCAUCAAGACAAUUCCCAGACAAAUCUGAAAUAUUCAUCGGUGGAUUUAGCUCAAGGAAAUAUAAACAGAUCUCCAAAAGAAAUGUAGCAAAGCGAGUCUAAAAAAUAUAAAUGUUAGAUACUUUCAUCAUGCGUUCAAAGAUAACCCUUUUUACUUCCAUUUCAAUUUACUUCAC